UACACGACCGUACCGCAAACCGACACUGGUGCGCGAGAUGAGUAUUCUAAGGCGCUUGAGAGAACUCAGGAGAAGGAACUCGGCAAAUUGACACCGUAACUUCGGAAGAAGGUGUGCCUUUAGUAGGUGAACCUGUACAAGGGGAGCCCAAUGAGGUUGCAAAAAAUCGGUGGCUGCGACUGUUUAAUAAAAACACAGCACUCUGCAAACACGAAAGUGGACGUAUAGGGUGUGACGCCUGCCCGGUGCUGGAAGAUUAAAUGAUGGGGUGCAAGCUCUUGAUUGAAGUCCCAGUAAACGGCGGCCGUAACAAUAACGGUCCUAAGGUAGCGAAAUUCCUUGUCGGGUAAGUUCCGACCUGCACGAAUGGCGUAACGAUGGCCACACUGUCUCCUCCUGAGACUCAGCGAAGUUGAAAUGUUUGUGAUGAUGCAAUCUCCCCGCGGAAAGACGGAAAGACCCCAUGAACCUUUACUGUAGCUUUGUAUUGGACUUUGAACAGAUCUGUGUAGGAUAGGUGGGAGGCUUUGAAGUGUGGUCGCUAGAUCGCAUGGAGCCAACGUUGAAAUACCACCCUGGUGUGUUUGAGGUCCUAACCUAGGCCCGUAAUCCGGGUCGGGGACAGUGCAUGGUAGGCAGUUUGACUGGGGCGGUCUCCUCCCAAAGCGUAACGGAGGAGUUCGAAGGUACGCUAGGUACGGUCGGACAUCGUGCUAAUAGUGCAAUGGCAUAAGCGUGCUUAACUGCGAGACUGACAAGUCGAGCAGAUGCGAAAGCAGGACAUAGUGAUCCGGUGGUUCUGUAUGGAAGGGCCAUCGCUCAACGGAUAAAGGUACUCUGGGGAUAACAGGCUGAUACCGCCCAAGAGUUCAUAUCGACGGCGGUGUUUGGCACCUCGAUGUCGGCUCAUCUCAUCCUGGGGCUGUAGCCGGUCCCAAGGGUAUGGCUGUUCGCCAUUUAGAGAGGUACGUGAGCUGGGUUUAAAACGUCGUGAGACAGUUUGGUCCCUAUCUUCCGUGGGCGCUGCAGAUUUGAGGAAGCCUGCUCCUAGUACGAGAGGACCGGAGUGGACACACCUCUGGUGUAUCGGUUGUCACGCCAGUGGCAUUGCCGAGUAGCUAUGUGUGGAAGAGAUAACCGCUGAAAGCAUCUAAGCGGGAAACUCGUUUCAAGAUGAGAUCUGCCGGGGCCUUGAGCCCCCUAAAGAGUCGUUCAAGACCAGGACGUUGAUAGGUCGGGUGUGGAAGCGCAGUAAUGCGUUAAGCUAACCGAUACUAAUUGCUCGUGCGGCUUGACCU
rnacentral:rRNA from 1 species